UACGUAGGUCCCGAGCGUUGUCCGGAUUUAUUGGGCGUAAAGCGAGCGCAGGCGGUUAGAUAAGUCUGAAGUUAAAGGCUGUGGCUUAACCAUAGUACGCUUUGGAAACUGUUUUAACUUGAGUCGCAACGCAGGGGAGAGUGGAAUUCCAUGUGUAGCGGUGAAAUGCGUAGAUAUAUGGAGGAACACCGGUGGCGAAAGC
rnacentral:rRNA from 1 species